rnacentral:rRNA from 1 species
UACGGAGGGUGCGAGCGUUAUCCGGAUUCACUGGGUUUAAAGGGUGCGUAGGUGGGAAUGUAAGUCAGUGGUGAAAUCUCUGAGCUUAACUCAGAAACUGCCAUUGAUACUAUGUUUCUUGAAUUUUCUGGAGGUCAGCGGAAUAUGUCAUGUAGCGGUGAAAUGCUUAGAUAUGACAUAGAACACCAAUUGCGAAGGCAGCUGGCUACAGGGAAUAUUGACACUGAGGCACGAAAGCGUGGGGAUCAAACAGG